CACCAUGUAAGAUGCCUCUUGGCGAGCGCGCACACACACACACACACACAAAUUCGUACAGUGCAUAGUAGUGAAUCACCAAUCUCCACAGCUAUAAAACACAGAGUAAUGUGUAAUCUGAAUGUCAGUGUCAGAGUUUCACAGUCAUAAACCUCAAUUACUGGGAACAUGCAACGGUCGAUUGAGGAAGGAGAGUUAGAAGAGAAGGAAAUUAGAAACAAAGAAGAGAGGGAAGAAAUAAACCCAGAUGGAACUUUAUGUCUCAGAUCAACCUUGAGAAAUCCUUCCACAAUCAGAAGGAAGUCAUACCAGUAGAAUAAAC